UACAGGGGGGGCAAGCGUUGUUCGGAAUUACUGGGCGUAAAGGGUCUGUAGGUGGCCAACUAAGUCAGACGUGAAAUCCCUCAGCUUAACUGGGGAACUGCGUCUGAUACUGGAUGGCUUGAGUGUGGGAGAGGAAUGCGGAAUUCCAGGUGUAGCGGUGAAAUGCGUAGAUAUCUGGAGGAACACCGGUGGCGAAGGCGGCAUCCUGGACCGGCAUUGACGCUGAGGAGCGAAAGCGUGGGGAGCAAACAGG
rnacentral:rRNA from 1 species